UACAGAGGUGGCAAGCGUUGUUCGGAAUUACUGGGCGUAAAGGGCGCGUAGGCGGCCUACUAAGUCAGACGUGAAAUCCCCCGGCUUAACCUGGGAACUGCGUCUGAUACUGGAAGGCUUGAGUAUGGGAGAGGGAUGUAGAAUUCCAGGUGUAGCGGUGAAAUGCGUAGAUAUCUGGAGGAAUACCGGUGGCGAAGGCGGCAUCCUGGACCGGUAUUGACGCUGAGGCGCGAAGGCCAGGGGAGCAAACGGG
rnacentral:rRNA from 1 species